GUCGGAGCCCCCGUCGUCGUCGUAGCUUCAUUCCAUCAACGCAGGCACAGCAACAUUUCCGGAAAUUCUCUCUAAUUGCAUCAGCAAAUCAUCUCCCGGCGCAGAAAUAAAGCUAGACGAGCAACGCAUGAAUGUGGUGAAACAUCAAAAAAAAAUACCACAAGUCGACCAGGGAAGUGUGAUCCAAUUGACCAGGAUGCAACAAGAUGUACUCGAGAUAAAAUUCCCCAAAAUGUCGUUGUGAAUUUUGGCUUGGAGAAGAUGAAAUCCAAAGUGGAGACAAGAGCCAUCAAGUAUAUUGCUGCUGCUAGUGCUGCAGUUGCUGAAGUAAUGAGAAAGGAAGAGAAUGGCAAUAAUAAAGCAGAUGGGGUGGUAAAAAUGUUUUGUUUGCCAAUAAAAAAAGGUACAGCGCAAUGGACGCGACAAGGAAUGCAAGAAACGUGGCUGUCUGUCCAGAAGCAGCAAAAUUAGUGGUAUGUGAAUCUCCAUUUAUCGUGUUGAUGAGCUCAUCAAGUGACUCCUCGUCAGGCUCCAGCAAGGGAAUUGAGCGAAGCCCAAAAAUAUCACCAGAAUCUUCCUACAGAAAGAAUCUCAUUAAGACGGCAAAAGAUGGUAAGGAUGGAAAGCGUUCGAGGAAGUGUGAACGAUCACGUCGUCGUAGUGUUGAUAAGGAUGAUAGGGCAUACAGGAAGUCACCGGAUAAGCCAUCACGUGAUGCACGCAAUUGCUCACGCUCGGGAUCGCCUCGCAGUAAGCAUUGAAAGCCAUGAACGACACUCAUUCACAUUGGACGAGUCACGCGCAAUCUAAUCAAAGACCACGUCGUGGAGAUCUUCAAUGUGUACAGGGGGGAUAUUGAAUUCCCUCUUGAGAGGACCAUAACACCAGCCGGAGAUUCUUCUCUGUGGAAUACAACAGCCUCGCUGAUGCUACGAAUGCCAUGGAUGAGGGGUAAAUUGACGGGCAGGAGAUUACAGCUGCUCACGUGCUUGUGCCCACGCAGACUCCCACCUCAGAUCAUCACCAAUUCGCAACAAUCGCGGUGGAGGUCCACGAUGACGCAAAAAAUGCCCCGAUGCGCUUCUGUCGUCAUUCCCUCAUACGUCGGAUCCCCCGUCGUCGUCGUCGUAGCUCCAUUCCAUCGACGCAGGCAUAGCAACAUUUCCUGAAAUUCUCGCUAAUUGCAUCAGCAAAUCAUCUCCCGGCGCAGAAAUAAAGCUAGACGAGCAACAGAAAGAUUAGCAAUCAUUGAAAUCUCGAGAACGUCAAUGAGGAACUUGUGGAUCAAUACUUCGAUAAGACUGAUAACAUUUGGAGCAUGGAGAAUAAGUUCGUGAGCUGGACAGUAAGAUCAACGACAAAAUGCCCAUGGAGAGUUCGGUACUGUCGAAAUUGCAGCCUCAGGUGCAGGAUCUGAUAAAGCUUAUCUUAUAUAUUAAUUCCAUGAAAAAAAUGUAUGCUAAAAGUUUAAAAAGAUUAAAUAAAAAUGUUCUUUCAAUUA